GUCCACGCCGUAAACGAUGGAUGCUAUUAGUUCGAGGUAUCGACCCCUUGGGCUGAGAAGCUAACGCGUUAAGCAUCCCGCCUGGGGAGUACGAGCGCAAGCUUAAAACUCAAAGGAAUUGACGGGGACCCGCACAAGCAGUGGAGCAUGUGGUUUAAUUCGAAGAUACGCGAAGAACCUUACCGAGGCUUGACAUCCCGCGAAUCCGCUAGAAAUAGUGGAGUGCCUUCGGGAACGCGGUGACAGGUGCUGCAUGGCCGUCGU
rnacentral:rRNA from 1 species